rnacentral:rRNA from 1 species
CAAUAGCGUAUAUUAAAGUUGUUGCGGUAAAAAAGCUCGUAGUUGGAUUUCUGUUGAGAGCGACCGGUCCAUACCAUGUAUGCGUAUCUGGCUUGCUCUCGGCAUCCUCUCGAUAGACGUUGCUGCGCUUGAUUGCGUGGCGCGGAUCUCGGGACUUUUACUUUGAGGAAAUUAGAGUGUUCACGGCAGGCUUUCGCCAGAAUACAUUAGCAUGGAAUAAUACUAUAGGAUCUUGGUUCUAUUUUGUUGGUUUCUAGAAUUGAGAUAAUGAUUAAUAGGGACAAUUGGGGGCAUUCGUAUCAACACGUCAGAGGUGGAAUUCUUGGAUUGUGUUGCGACGAACUACUGCGAAAGCAUUUGCCAAGGAUGUUUNCAUUG